rnacentral:rRNA from 1 species
ACUUAAAUUGAAGAGUUUGAUCAUGGCUCAGAUUGAACGCUGGCGGCAGGCCUAACACAUGCAAGUCGAGCGGUAGCACAGAGAGCUUGCUCUCGGGUGACGAGCGGCGGACGGGUGAGUAAUGUCUGGGAAACUGCCUGAUGGAGGGGGAUAACUACUGGAAACGGUAGCUAAUACCGCAUAACGUCGCAAGACCAAAGUGGGGGACCUUCGGGCCUCAUGCCAUCAGAUGUGCCCAGAUGGGAU